rnacentral:rRNA from 1 species
GAUGAACGCUGGCGGCGUGCCUAAUACAUGCAAGUCGAGCGAACGGACGAGAAGCUUGCUUCUCUGAUGUUAGCGGCGGACGGGUGAGUAACACGUGGAUAACCUACCUAUAAGACUGGGAUAACUUCGGGAAACCGGGGCUAAUACCGGAUAAUAUUUUAAACCGCAUGGUUCAAAAGUGAAAGACGGUCUUGCUGUCACUUAUAGAUGGAUCCGCGCUGCAUUAGCUAGUUGGUAAGGUAACGGCUUACCAAGGCAACGAUGCAUAGCCGACCUGAGAGGGUGAUCGGCCACACUGGAACUGAGACACGGUCCAGACUCCUACGGGAGGCAGCAGUAGGGAAUCUUCCGCAAAGGGCGAAAGCCUGACGGAGCAACGCCGCGUGAGUGAUGAAGGUCUUCGGAUCGUAAAACUCUGUUAUUAGGGAAGAACAUAUGUGUAAGUAACUGUGCACAUCUUGACGGUACCUAAUCAGAAAGCCACGGCUAACUACGUG